ACCCUAACUCUCAUAGUUUCAUCAGUUUUAAUUUUUUCAUCUUUCUCCGUACCCAGUUCUCCAAAAACACUAAGAGAUUCAUGGAAUUAGGAUUUGGAUCUGUAUUUUCAGCGUGGUUCUUAUAAAUUGGGAAGCAGAAUUUGCUUUUCUCUCAUUCCUAUGCUAGUUAGUAAUUAUUCAAAGAGUAGCAAUGGGGUUCAGAUUCAAUCCUUAGUGCUUGAGCUAGAUACAACGUUGCUUUAGAGGUCAAUGAAUUUAUCCAGGUUUCUCAAACUUGCAUUGUUUUAUAAUCGAUGGAACUCUUGAUUUCCUACAUCAGUAUGUAUUUGGCAGCAUGAAGUACUUUAGUGUUGUGGACUAAGAAUUUCAGUACUCUUCAGCAAUGAAACCAGAGGAUGUUAUGACUAUUAUAUGUGUCAAGUCUACAAAUUAAUCAAGUCAUUCCAUGAAGACGUUAAAUUAGCUCCAAUUCAAUAGAGAGAAGUUGCGUGUUUUUCGAAAUAGUUGUAGUAUUGCAACUAUGCAUUUUUAUUUAAUGUUAGCAGUUUAAGAAAUCGAAUGUCUUGUAAAUGAAUAUUAGUUUAAUAAUGUUAGAAUAUAAUCAUAGUUUUUUGCAUUA